rnacentral:lncRNA from 1 species
CGGGAACACCCACCUUUAGAGAUGAGACACAAGCAGGAGAAGAGGGAUUAAACCUGCUAGUUUUGGAAAAAAAAAAAAAAAGGAAAGAAAAGAAAAGAAAGAAAGAAAAACAAAAAACAACAACAAACAGAAAAAUGCAAAACUGCAGAACACGCAGUGGAGGUUGGAUUCAGAGGACAUGGGGAUCAGUGUGGGCUGUGCUGGUCAAGGAGGGCUUCCAGGGAGAGGCAACUGAGGAUUCACUGCAAUUGUUCCUUGAGAAGAUGAGGAUCAGGUCGGGAAUUGGAAACAUCUGAGGGCUCAAUUCAACCUGGCUUCUAAAACGAACAUGGUGAACAUAGAUCAACUACUGAACUUCUUUUAACCUCUGGCAUCCUAUCUGUGAAUUGUGGGGAGGAAACAGGGUCCACCCGCUGCUGCACAAGAGGGGUGUGUGCAGACCGUCACCUUGUGUCUGCUGUAGCAGGAGACCCCUGGCCAUGCGGGACUGAACCCAUGAUUGCAGCUGAUCUUACUCUGUCUCUUCUCUGUGUGAGUAAAGUGUUGUUCCAUCUAGUGCCUGUGUGAGUCGUGUCUUUCGUGGCGACACCUAUAAACCAUGGAGUGGGCUGACAUCCUGGUUCUGCUGCUCCUGGUGGCGGGCAUUGUUGUGCUGUUUGCCGUCCUCUACACAGUGCGAAUCUUCUCUACCCUGCCCGAGUCUCGGCAUCUCCACAUGUGCCAUGAGGAUGGUAAUGCUUUACAGAACUGAAGACUCACAUCAAAAUGCUGCCUGCUUCCAUGAGGCUUGUAGUGACAUCCAUGUACAAGUUCAAAGACCCUCUGAGCCAAUUUCCACUUCUCUGCAUGUCUCUGGGGACCUAGGGGACCAGGAUUACUAUAAAAGCAGCGUCCUCAUCCUGAGGGUGACCACACAGCAGUCUUCCCAGGGAAGCCACAGGAGUGAGCCAUGGGAACCUCACACACCAAGCAACUAGGCUCCAGGACACCAGGGGCAGACCAAGAGCACAAGAAGGCUGACCUUGAACUCCUCAAGAUGCUUGCUCCUGGGAUUCUCCAGCUGCAAUCAGCAUCCCCCACCCCCACUUGCCUGCGGUUGCUACAUGGGUCAGACAGCAAGGACCACAGGGGCACUAAGUUUGCUGCUGACUCUUGACCUCAGAUGGGCUAUUUGGCCAAGGGCCCAGCUCUCCCUCCAAUGUAGAGGAGGCAGGGAGGCAGGAGCCAGCAAGAAGUUCCUCCAGGCAAAGGGAAAGUGGCAAAGAUACUCAAGAGCUCACAGGUACCUAGCACACAUUGCCCAUGGGCACACAUAUCACUCUGCAAACUAUACACGAAACCCCUGAAAUUCAGGAGUACACAAGCCCCCACAAAAUGUAGGACCACAUGCUUCAAUAUUCACUUUCCAACAUAUUCAGAUCCACAGAAACACAAAUAGCCCCGCGUAAUGUGCAUACAAACACAUCUAUAUCAUGCUGCAACAUGCCCACACUUACACGUUUCCCCCAAAACAGCAUGAAAUCAAUCUGGGCACCUCACUUCUAUGGAAAACUUGCUCUCUGAAGUGUGAACAUUUGUGCACACACACAAAUACACCUAC